rnacentral:rRNA from 1 species
AGUGAACGCUGGCGGCAGGCCUAACACAUGCAAGUCGAACGGAGUGGCGGACGGGUGAGGAAUACAUCGGAACCUACUCUGUCGCGGGGGUAAACGUCGGGAAACGGGCGCUAAUCCCGCAUACUAUCAGCUUAGCCUAGGAUGGACUAGCUAGUAGGUGGGGUAAAGGCCUACCAAGGCGACGAUCCGUAACUGGUCUGAGAGGAUGAUCGGUCACACUGGAACUGAGACACGGUCCAGACUCCUACGGGAGGCAGCAGUGGGGAAUAUUGGGCAAUGGGCGAAAGCCUGAUCCAGCCAUGCCGCGGGUGUGAAGAAGGUCUUCGGAUUGUAAAGCACUUUAAGUUGGGAGGCGUUACCUACAGAGUAAGCACCGGCUAACUACGUGCCAGCCGCCGCGGUAAUUC